AUACUGAGGGUGCAAGCGUUAAUCGGAAUUGCUGGGCGUAAAGCGCACGUAGGCGGUUUAUUAAGUCAGAUGUGAAAGCCCUGGGCUUAACCUGGGAACUGCAUUUGAGACUGGUAGGCUAGAGUAUGGUAGAGGAUAGUGGAAUUCCGGGUGUAGCGGUGAAAUGCGUAGAUAUCCGGAGGAACAUCAGUGGCGAAGGCGGCUAUCUGGACCAAUACCGACGCUGAGGUGUGAAAGCGUGGGGAGCGAACAGGAUUAGAAACCCCAGUAGUCC
rnacentral:rRNA from 1 species